UACGAAGGGGGCUAGCGUUGCUCGGAAUGACUGGGCGUAAAGGGCGCGUAGGCGGAUGGCAUAGUCAGAUGUGAAAUUCCCGGGCUUAACCUGGGGACUGCAUUUGAUACGUGUCGUCUUGAGUUCGGAAGAGGGUCGUGGAAUUCCCAGUGUAGAGGUGAAAUUCGUAGAUAUUGGGAAGAACACCGGUGGCGAAGGCGACUGACUGGACAUGUAUUGACGCUGAGGUGCGAAAGCGUGGGGAGCAAACAGG
rnacentral:rRNA from 1 species